UACGAAGGGGGCUAGCGUUGUUCGGAAUCACUGGGCGUAAAGGGCGCGUAGGCGGCUUUAUAAGUCGGGGGUGAAAGCCUGUGGCUCAACCACAGAAUUGCCUUCGAUACUGUAGAGCUUGAGACCGGAAGAGGUAAGUGGAACUGCGAGUGUAGAGGUGAAAUUCGUAGAUAUUCGCAAGAACACCAGUGGCGAAGGCGGCUUACUGGACAGUGACUGACGCUGAGACGCGAAAGCGUGGGGAGCAAACAGG
rnacentral:rRNA from 1 species